rnacentral:pre_miRNA from 15 species
CGCCCGUGGCCGCGUUGCCUGACGGGAAGCGGAGGGGCGAGGAGCGAGGCGUUCGGCCAUUUUGUGUCUUUCCUGUGGGACGCGGCGGCGUUUGU